rnacentral:rRNA from 1 species
UACGAAGGGAGCUAGCGUUGUUCGGAAUCACUGGGCGUAAAGCGCACGUAGGCGGAUGUGUCAGUCAGGGGUGAAAUCCCGGAGCUCAACUUCGGAACUGCCUUUGAUACAGCACGUCUUGAGUCCGAUAGAGGUGGGUGGAAUUCCUAGUGUAGAGGUGAAAUUCGUAGAUAUUCGGAAGAACACCAGUGGCGAAGGCGGCUCACUGGCCCGGUACUGACGCUGAGGUGCGAAAGCGUGGGGAGCAAACAGG